rnacentral:rRNA from 1 species
CGUCUAGGCGGUUUGGUAAGUCACUUGUGAAAGCCCGCGGCUCAACCGCGGAAUGUCUCGUGAUACUGCCAGACUCGGGUGUGGGAGAGGAGAGUGGAACUCACAGAGUAGCGGUGGAAUGCGUAGAUACUGUGAGGUACCCCGAUGGCGAAGGCAACUCUCUGGCCUACUACCGACGCUGAAGCGCGAAAGCGUGGGGAGCGAAGG